rnacentral:rRNA from 1 species
GAUGAACGCUGGCGGCGUGCCUAAUACAUGCAAGUCGAGCGAACGGACGAGAAGCUUGCUUCUCUGAUGUUAGCGGCGGACGGGUGAGUAACACGUGGAUAACCUACCUAUAAGACUGGGAUAACUUCGGGAAACCGGAGCUAAUACCGGAUGAUAUUUUGAACCGCAUGGUUCAAAAGUGAAAGACGGUCUUGCUGUCACUUAUAGAUGGAUCCGCGCUGCAUUAGCUAGUUGGUAAGGUAACGGCUUACCAAGGCAACGAUGCAUAGCCGACCUGAGAGGGUGAUCGGCCAGCCUGGAACUGAGACACGGUCCAGACUCCUACGGGAGGCCGCAGUAGGGAAUCUUCCGCAAUGGGCGAAAGCCUGACGGAGCAACGCCGCGUGAGUGAUGAAGGUCUUCGGAUCGUAAAACUCUGUUAUUAGGGAAGAACAUAUGUGUAAGUAACUGUGCACAUCUUGACGGUACCUAAUCAGAAAGCCACGGCUAACUACGUG